rnacentral:rRNA from 1 species
GACGAACGCUGGCGGCGUGCCUAAUACAUGCAAGUAGAACGCUGAAGAGAGGAGCUUACUCUUCUUGGAUGAGUUGCGAACGGGUGAGUAACGCGUAGGUAACCUGCCUUGUAGCGGGGGAUAACUAUUGGAAACGAUAGCUAAUACCGCAUAACAAUGGAUGACACAUGUCAUUUAUUUGAAAGGGGCAAUUGCUCCACUACAAGAUGGACCUGCGUUGUAUUAGCUAGUAGGUGAGGUAAUGGCUCACCUAGGCGACGAUACAUAGCCGACCUGAGAGGGUGAUCGGCCACACGGGGACGGAGACACGGCCCAGACUCCUACGGGAGGCAGCAGUGGGGAAUCUUCGGCAAUGGGGGCAACCCUGACCGAGCAACGCCGGGUGGGUGAAGAAGGUUUUCGGGUCGUAAAGCUUUGUUGUAGGGAAAGAACGGGUGGGGGGGGGGAAAGUCCCCCCUGGAAGGGAGGCUAACCAGAAGGGGAGGGUAAAUUAGGG